UUGGAAUCUAACGCCAGCAUGGAGGACAUCACCCAGCCCUGGAAAUAUCCGGGUGUCUGGAGAUGCAUCCACGCCAGGACCCAUGAGCAAGGGAGAGAAUGCGACCAACUCCUGGGACUCUAGGGCAGCAGUCUUGGGGAAGUGUGGCAUCCUCACUGUGAGAGAGAGAGAGCUGGAGGCAGCCACCAGCUCCCCCUCCCUGCCCUCCUCUGCCAAAGGAAGGCCCUGCUAUUUCAACACAAGCGGCUUGCAGGAGGAGCCUGUUAAGAGGACGGCUGGUCCACUGAAAAAGCGGCAGCAGCUUCAGAAAGGUUAAAAUGUGACUCCCCUGCCCCUGACAAAAAAACUGUUUUCAAUUCAGAAAACAAGGUGUCUAUGGCCAUAUUACCAUGGACGUGCCUGGUGUCAUCUGAUCUCAGAAGCUAAACAGGCUCUGGAUUGAUCAAUACUUGGAUGGAAGAAAACAAAGUGUGCCCAUUUUACAGAUAAGAAAGACAAGCCUCAGAGAAAUAAAAAAUUUAUCAGCCACCGGGUGACAGAGGCGGCUCUAAUCCAGUGAUUCCUUCCCUCCUUCCUCAUCUUGUCUUCCUGGUUCAAGGUUAGCUCCCAGAGCUCAUUCCCGGGAGGAAACAGUUCUGGGUGACUGAUUCACUGAUCAGCUUGGUUUGGGUUUCAUAAAACGCUGUGCUGGAACACUGAGUCGGUACUUCUCCCAAGUUUCCAGUUCGGAGACACGAGGAGAAUGCUAAAAGCUCGAAUAUGCAAAUGAACAUUUGGACAGAUUUCCUCUAGAGUUUCGGCCUCCAGGCAAAUGAUUUAUUCCCUGCAGAAAUGCAUUUUUGUUUCUGCUUAACGGGUGAAAAAGGAGAAAAGAUUUUUCGGGACAACCAAGCUUAGGAAUAAAAGUCUCCAUGGGAAAUGUACUUUUCUGAAAGCAAAUGUUGGCUAAACAAGGACAGUGUUGACUAAACACGUGUUCCCCUCACCCAAAGGAAUGGAGUCAGAGAAUCCCCCAAGCUCCAAAUUGUGGGGGCAGAUGGAUCUUUUAGAAGUUCACGGUUCGCCUUUCUCCUGCCCAGCCCCAUGCCUUAAGCAAAGUGUGGGAUGGUCUCGGGAGGACACCCACAAAUGUAAGUAGGAAGGUGGGAAGCAGCCUCUCCUCUAAUAUAGAAAAACAACUGUGACAGACAGAACAAAGCAUGUGGUUCAGACACGAGACCCUGAGCUAGCCCUGGGGAGGGAGACAGCAGCUUUGCAGCCGUUAUCCUCAGGAAGCCCUGAGCGCUGAGAGGCACUGUUACAGAACCGAACUGGGGUCCACUCGCUAGGCCUACCUAGGUGCCUGGAAUUUCCCUUCGAGGAACGCAGGAGUUUUCUUUAUUUUCAUGCUUGGGAAGGCUCAUUAGGCCCCUAAGAGAGGGUCCCUUCCCCAUCUCAGGACUAAAAUGCAAUGAAGAUGUUGCUCAGGGAGGGACAUUCCACUUUUUAAAUCAGCUUUCUGAAGCAUGAUCUCCAUAUAAUCACCUAGAAGCGUACAGCACAAUGAUCUUGACAGAUGCCAGCAUCCUUGGAACCACUGCCACCACCAACGUCUCAAACCAUUCCAUCAAACCCAGAACACUCCUGGUGCCCUGAAGCGUCUCCCUUCAGUGGCAGAACCAGCAGAGAUUCAGUGGUCACAAGGCUGGUCUGGAACUCCUGGGUGCAAGCGAUCCUUCCACCUCGGCCUCCCAAAGUGCUGGGAUUAGAGGCAUAAGCCACCGCGCCCAGCCAGGAAUGGAUUUUCUCACAGUUCUCGAUGGCGGAAGUCUGAGAUCAAGGUCUUGGCAGGGCUAGGUCUCUCUGAGGCCUUUCUCCCCAGCUUAUAGGUCGCCGCCUCCUCUCUCUGUCUUUCCUUGUCUUCCUUGUGUCCACAGUUGUGUCCAAAUUCCCCUUUCUCAUAAGGACGUCAGUCAUGUUGGAUUAGGGCCCUCCCUCCUGACCUUGUUUUAGCUUAAUCUCUGCAACUUAACCCUUAACCUCAGUAAAGAUCCUAUUUCCAAAUGUGUUCACAUUCUGAGGUCCUGAGGAUUAGGACUUUGAAAGGAUUAAAACAGGCUCUUCUGGCAUAUUGACAAUUUCAGCUAAAGACUCUUGAGAAACAGCAGGUGCAAAAAGAUCACAGUGACCUCCAUGCUGUACCUUGAGAUGAAAUUCCAAUGCGAAAGAUGCCCUCUCCACCCUAGAAGGGAAAGCAACAUCCUUAUCUUUGGGAGUGAAAAGUCCAAACUGAGAGCAUACUGUGAGUACCUCAUUAGCAUCAUUCCAUUCUCUGAGCUUCCCCGCAGACUUCAGUUGCUUCUUCACAGCUCUGCUCUUUGUCCCGUCCAAUCUCUGAGUAACUAACUCACUGCUUCUGCAGGUCUUCAUUUCUGCAGGAGGGCUCCCAUGCUACAUAAAUCCUGCAUUACACUUUUCUCCUGUUAGUCUAUGUUAUGUCCAUUUAAUUCUCAGGCCCAGCCGGGACCCUAAGAGGACAGAGGUGGAGUUUUUCCACCCCUACAACUUUACCCAAUCACAAUUCAAUCCUAACAGUGCCUUUCUCUGGAGGGGCUCUGCCAGCAUGAAUUCCUUUACGGGUGGAAGCCUCACAGUCCAGUCUACCAGUGAGGUCCACAUGGGAUUGGCUGGAGGGAGCUACGAAGUCAAGCGGCGUCAGGUACAGAGAAACAAAUCCCACAUCCAAGGGCCAGGAGGCGGUAGAGCAAACCACGCACAGCCGGGUGACUUAAGGGCAAGGAAGUCUUCCUGCAGGAGGUGAAUUUGGCACAAGGGAUACGUUUUUAGGCCCUGAGUGGAGGAUCUGGGUUUCAAACUGGACUUUUGAAAAACACACUCUUAUUGUAGAAGGGCCUGCGGGUUUGUUUUAAUCACUUCUCAAAGCUACGCUAGGCAUUCGCAGCUCAGGAUCCCCAGUUUAGCCUAAUAAAAAAAAGUAAUUACAUCAUAUUACAGAUAAUUUGAUUGUGUCUGAGACGAUAAUUGAGUUAAAACGCUUAUUGUAACAGACACAUCAGAUUGGCAAGGAGGAAGCUCGG
rnacentral:lncRNA from 1 species